UACGUAGGGAGCAAGCGUUGUCCGGAAUCAUUGGGCGUAAAGGGCGCGUAGGUGGCGGGACAAGCGUGCGGUGAAAGCCUGGGGCUCAACCCCGGGUCGGCCGUGCGAACUGUUUUGUUUGAGCACUGUAGAGGCAGGCGGAAUUCCGGGUGUAGCGGUGGAAUGCGUAGAGAUCCGGAAGAACACCGGUGGCGAAGGCGGCCUGCUGGGCAGUAGCUGACACUGAGGCGCGACAGCGUGGGGAGCAAACAGG
rnacentral:rRNA from 1 species